rnacentral:tRNA from 1 species
GGCGCUGUGGCAUAGUAGGUUAAUGCCCUGGCCUGAAGCACCAGCAUCCCAUGUGAGCGCCGGUUCUAAUCCUGGCUGCUCCA